rnacentral:lncRNA from 1 species
UUGGCACGCUCUCUAAAUAUAAUAUUUAUUUCUAGUCAUGCCAUCUUAAAAUAUGUAGAGGAAAUAGAAGAAGCCCAAAGUUAGGCAGCAGAAAGGAGCAGCGACAAGGAGCAACCUCCAUAUUAAGUGAGAUUUAAAAGAUGAGAAGUGUUCAGUUGGAAGAGGGAAUUAAUAAGUGGGGACAUGAUAGAGAUAUAAAAUAAUUAAUGGUAUGGAGAAGGUCAAUUGAAUGCUCCUAUUUACUCUUCCCCAUAAUGUAAGAACAAAGUGACAUCCAUUAAAUUGAAAAGAAACAAAUUUAAAACUGAUAAAAAGAAAUACUUUUUUACACAAUGCAUAAUUAGCCUGUUGAACUCGCUGCAACAAGCUAUCAUUAUGCCCAAGAGCUUAGUAGGAUUCAAAAAGGAUUAUACACUUAUUUGGAUAAUGAGAGCACCCAGGGAUACCUUAGAUAGGAUAAAAAUGGUUGGGGGUGGAGAUGUAUGAACCCUCAUGCUUCAGGGCAUAAACCAAUCAUUAGCUGUCUGGGAUUAGGAAGAAACUUCCCCUAUGAGCAAAUUAUUCAAUAAUUGUCCAUUAUGAGUUUUCUUGCAAAUUCCACUGAAGCAUCUGGUGCUGGCCACUCACUGUAGAGACAGAACACUGGACCGCUGAUACGAUCCAGUGUGGAAUUUCCAUUUCCCAGAUUGCCAUGUGUGUUUGCCAUGGGUCUGGGAAAGCCAUGUCUGCAACAAAAGGGAUUGUUCCCUCUGUUCUGUGACCUCCCUGCUGCCUGGCAAUUACUGUGCAGUUACUUAUGUAUUUAUUUGUGACAGAGGCCAGGAUCAAGUUCCAUCUUUGGGAGAGGACAGCUUUUCCAUUUGAAAUGCAUCACGCCCGGCUUGCGUGGAGCUGUCUGACGCCAACAUAAUGGGGACAUUUGGGAUGUGGAAUAACCAAGCUGCCAUUCAUCAAGCUUGAAUGUCAGAGGAAUGGUGCAAAGCUCCCUGCUUUCGGACUUCAGUCCAGAGUCAGCUUGGAUACGGUGCAGCUCUGUAACCUGCUAGGAAAGCAGCUCAGCUGGGAGAAAAAGCUACAAGACACCACAGAGGGGUUGAGAACUGCUCAGGACAGUAAUAGUGAUAUUUGCUUGGUUAACAGUGGUAAGUGGCAAAGCUGGGAUCAAGGUUAAACAAGUGAAACCUCACUUGCAAUGUUCAUACCAUUGGCAGUAAUUUAUUGGCAAAGGUUUUACCUGGGACAGUAACAAAUCCCAGACUGAUGGUUGCUCUCCUACAACGAAAUCUAGUAGCAGUACUGAUUCCAUUUGAAGGCUGUACUUCAAGAUUGCAGUUCCCUGACAGAGAACUGAGGAUUUGAUUGAUUUACAUGACAGUGUUUUAACUGAGAACACCAUAAAAUAAUUCAAAACCAGUUUGACAUCUUGGAAGACAACCUUAUAUUAAGAAACGUCAAGAUUGUAGAGCACAGAAAGAGAAGCCCAUGAUAUAUUUUUUCUAU